AUGGCCCCCCACCUCCGUCUCGCCCCCCAGGCCCGCCUCCUGUUGCUGGUGCUCGCUGUCGCCCUCGGCCUCGGGAGUGCCGCCCCCGGCCCGGGCCACGGGCCGGAGGCGUCAGAUCGGGCCGAGCCGGACCCGUACUCGAUCCUGACGUGGCACGACUACUCGCCCCCGUCGCCGCCGCCCCCGCCGCCGCCGCCGGCGGCGCCGGCGGCGACCUGCGCCGACGACCUCCAUGGGAAGGGGGACUUCAGCACGACCUGUGAGCUAUCCGAAGAGGUCCAGCUGGACGGCGACGUCUACAUCACCGGCAACGGCAGUCUGGUCCUCAACUCCGGUGCGGCCCUGACCUGCGAGAAGCCCGGGUGCGUCAUAUCAGCCAACCUCUCCGGCGAGGUGCGUCUCGGCCGCGGCGUGCGGGUCGUUGCCGGGUGGGUCUCCCUCGCGGCCGCUAACAUCACAAUCGCCGACACGGUCAUUGUGAACACUAGCGGUCUAGCCGGCGAUCCGCCUGACCGCACCAGCGGCGUCCCCACGGGGACGCACGGGGAUGGAGGUGGUCACGGCGGUCGAGGUGCGAGCUGCUACGUCAAGGAUGGGCAGUCGCAGGAGGACUCAUGGGGAGGUGAUGCCUACGCAUGGUCAGACCUUGAGCACCCGUUUAGCUAUGGAAGCAAAGGGGGCUCUACUAGUGUUGAGAAGGACUACGGUGGCGUCGGCGGUGGUAUCUUGUGGCUGUUUGCGGAUGACCUGCUAAUGAAUGGUACAGUGCUCGCAGAUGGUGGUGAUAGCAGUGAUAAGGGCGGGGGUGGUUCUGGUGGGAGCAUCUAUAUCAAGGCCGAGACUAUGCAUGGUGCUGGCAAAAUCAGUGCUUCUGGAGGCAACGGUUUGGCUGGGGGUGGUGGAGGACGGGUUUCUAUUAAUGUUUUCAGUAGGCAUGAUGAUACCCAGAUAUUUGUUCAUGGUGGAAUGAGUUCGGGCUGCCCAGAUAAUGCAGGAGCUGCUGGAACUCUUUAUGAUGCAGUACCUAAGAGUCUUGAUGUUAACAACAAUAACAUGAGUACACAGACUGACACUCUUCUGUUGGACUUCCCAAAUCAGCCACUAUGGACAAAUGUUAACAUCAGGAAUCAUGCCAAAGUUGUUGUGCCCUUGCUCUGGAGUCGUGUUCAGGUUCAAGGGCAACUUAGCCUAAAAUCUGGUGCUGUUCUGACGUUUGGAUUGACCGGUUAUCCAUACUCGGAGUUUGAACUGAUGGCUGAGGAGCUUCUUAUGAGUGACUCAACAAUCAAGGUGUUCGGUGCUUUGAGAAUGUCUGUUAAGAUGCUCCUUAUGUGGAACUCCAGAAUGCUUAUUAAUGGCGGUGGAGAUUCAGUAGUUGCGACGUCCUUACUGGAUGCUAGCAAUUUGAUAGUCCUGAAGGAAUCAUCUGUGAUACAUUCUACCGCUAAUCUUGGAGUUCGCGGUCAAGGUCUGCUGAACUUAUCUGGAGAUGGAGACAUAAUCGAGGCACCACGUCUUAUUUUGUCACUGUUCUACAGCAUACGAGUUGGACCUGGCUCCAUUUUACGGGGUCCACUUGUAAAUGGAAGUAACGGCGAUGUGUCCCCAAAGCUGAACUGUGAAGAUGAGAGUUGCCCUGUAGAAAUAAUUCAUCCACCAGAAGAUUGCAAUCUGAAUUCUUCACUGUCAUUUACUCUCCAGGUAUGCCGUGUAGAAGACAUUGAUGUCUGGGGUCUCGUACAAGGAACUGUAAUUCAUUUCAAUAGGGCAAGAAGUGUUACUGUUCACACAUCUGGGACUAUCAGCACAACAGGAUUGGGCUGCAAAAGUGGAAUAGGACGAGGAAGAUUAUUAAGUAGCGGCCUAAGCGGUGGUGGUGGACACGGUGGUAAAGGGGGGAACAGUGUUGUUAAUGGAAGCCGUGCUGAGGGUGGACCUACAUAUGGUAAUGCCGAUUUGCCUUGUGAACUUGGCAGUGGAAGUGGCAAUGACUCAACAGGGCUUUCCACAGCUGGUGGUGGUAUAAUAGUGUUGGGCUCAUGGGAGUAUUCUCUACCAAGUCUCACGCUCUACGGUACAAUAGAAUCAAAUGGUGGUAGUUUGACUGAUGCUGUAACUAAUUCCUCCAUUGGACCUGGUGGUGGUUCUGGGGGUACGGUUCUUCUAUUUGUGCGCACUUUGUCCCUAGCAGAGAGUUCCGUCCUUUCGAGUGUUGGUGGCUUUGGUCGAGCUGGCAGCGGUGGGGGUGGAGGGGGAAGGAUUCACUUUCACUGGUCUAACAUUCCUACUGGAGAUGAGUAUGUUCCUGUUGCAGCUAUUAAAGGAUCAAUACUUGCAAGCGGAGGAAUCAGCAAAGGGCCAGGAUUCCCUGGUGAGAAUGGAACAGUUACAGGAAGAGCUUGCCCAAAAGGUCUUUAUGGUACAUUCUGCAAGGAAUGCCCUUUGGGAACAUACAAGAAUGUUACUGGAUCUUCAAAAUCUCUCUGCUUUCCGUGCCCUUCAGCCGAACUUCCUCGCCGUGCCGUGUACACAAGUGUCCGAGGAGGGGCUGCUGAAACUCCAUGCCCGUACAUAUGUGUGUCAGACAGAUAUCGCAUGCCUCACUGUUAUACUGCUCUUGAAGAGUUAAUAUACACUUUUGGGGGACCUUGGUUAUUUGGUCUACUUCUUUCAGGCCUUCUUAUUUUGUUAGCUCUUGUUUUAAGUGUUGCUCGGAUGAAAUUUGCUGGCACUGAUGAGUUACCCGGGCCAGCACCAACUCAACAAGGGUCGCAGAUUGAUCACUCCUUCCCUUUCCUAGAAUCACUAAAUGAGGUCUUGGAAACUAAUAGAGCUGAAGAAUCACAUGGUCAUGUACACAGGAUGUAUUUCAUGGGCCCAAACACCUUCAGUGAACCUUGGCAUCUCCCACACACCCCAGCAGAACAGAUUACAGAGAUUGUGUAUGAGGAUGCAUUUAAUCGAUUUGUCGAUGAGAUAAACACACUUGCAGCUUAUCAGUGGUGGGAAGGAUCUAUUUACAGUAUCCUUUGUAUACUUGCAUACCCUUUGGCUUGGUCAUGGCAACAGUGGCGUAGAAGAAAAAAAUUACAAAGACUUCGUGAAUUUGUUCGCUCUGAGUAUGAUCAUUCAUGCUUACGGUCUUGCCGUUCGCGUGCGCUUUAUGAAGGUCUCAAGGUGACUGCAACCCCAGAUCUAAUGUUGGGAUAUUUAGAUUUCUUCCUUGGUGGAGAUGAGAAAAGGCCUGAUCUUCCUCCUAGACUUCGUCAAAGGUUUCCGAUGUCCUUGAUUUUUGGUGGUGAUGGAAGUUACAUGGCUCCAUUUUCACUUCAUAGUGACAGUGUGCUGACCAGUCUUAUGAGCCAGGCUGUGCAACCUUGGAUAUGGCACCGUCUUGUAGCUGGAUUGAAUGCUCAGCUGCGUUUGGUUCGACGUGGAAAUCUCAAAGCAACAUUUCUUCCUGUCCUUAAUUGGCUUGAAACUCAUGCGGAUCCUGCUUUGGGCGUGAAUGGUGUACGUGUCGAUCUUGCGUGGUUCCAAGCUACAGCAUUAGGGUAUUGCCAACUGGGUCUUGUUGUUUACACUGUCGAGGGAGAACCAGUGACUGCUGAACUUGAUGGCAGCCCAAGAAUUAAAAUAGAGCAGCAUUCGCUAGUGCAGGACAUGCUUGCUGAUGCUCAACUAAGCCGCUCAAGGAUUAAGGAUGUUUUUAUGCGGAAAAGGAUUACUGGUGGCAUUCUAGAUAGUACUACCUUACGGACACUUAAAGACAGGAGAGAUUUUCUGUACCCGUUUUCUCUUAUCUUGCACAAUUCUAAACCAGUUGGGCAUCAGGAUCUUGUUGGCUUAGUAAUCUCAAUAUUGCUCCUGGCGGAUUUCAGCUUAGUGUUGCUUACUUUUCUCCAGCUAUACUCAUACUCAAUGGCCGACGUUCUCUUAGUUCUGUUUGUUCUUCCUCUUGCGAUACUGUCGCCUUUCCCUGCUGGAAUAAAUGCUCUUUUUAGUCAUGGACCACGGCGAUCAGCAGGCCUUGCUCGUGUAUAUGCAUUGUGGAACAUUACUUCACUGGUUAAUGUUGUUGUGGCUUUGAUAUGCGGAUUCGUUCACUAUAAGUCGUCAACCAAGAGACAUCCAAGCACACAGCCAUGGAACCUUGGAACGGAUGAAAGCGGCUGGUGGCUGUUUCCGACUGGACUCAUGUUGUUGAAAUGCAUCCAAGCAAGGCUUGUUGAUUGGCAUGUGGGUAAUCUAGAGAUCCAAGACCAAGCGGUAUACAGCAAGGACCCGAACAUAUUCUGGCAGUCGUGA
rnacentral:rRNA from 1 species